rnacentral:lncRNA from 1 species
UCACAAACAGGACAUUCAUACUGUCACUCAAACUGCUACAACUGCAGCUACAGGAACUGGCUGCAGCUGCCACUGUCGCCUUGUCAUCCUUGACUUCUCACAUGAUUAAAUUUUAAUUCAAGUCUAUGAAGCGUAAACUUGGUUCAAAUAGCGAGUCUGUGCUGCCACCUGCUGGAAAAUGUGAGAAAAUUGUCUGUUUUAAUGGAAUAGCAGUGAUGUAUGCUGCAUUAAAUAAGAAAACUCAGGUA